rnacentral:rRNA from 1 species
UACGUAGGGGGCAAGCGUUGUCCGGAUUUAUUGGGCGUAAAGAGCGUGUAGGCGGCCAGACAGGUCCGUUGUGAAAACUCGAGGCUCAACCUCGAGACGCCGAUGGAAACCGUCUGGCUAGAGUCCGGAAGAGGAGAGUGGAAUUCCUGGUGUAGCGGUGAAAUGCGCAGAUAUCAGGAGGAACACCGGUGGCGAAGGCGGGUCUCUGGGCCGAGAUUGACGCUGAGGAGCGAAAGCGUGGGGAGCGAACAGG